GCUUCGCAGCGCGCACACGGGGAGCUUGCUCCCAGAGAUGCUGCGAGGAAAGUCCCCGUGCCUUGGUGCAGAGAGUGCGAGUGGAAGACCGCAGGGCUCGUGGCAGACCUCCAGUGGUGAUGCUUCUCGCGCAGCCUUGGUGACAGGCUCGGGCCCUUCGCAGCAGCGCACUCAAGCUGUUUGCACUCAUGAUGGGCGCCAACAGCACGGGGCUAACUCUC
rnacentral:RNase_MRP_RNA from 1 species